ACGGAGGGUGCGAGCGUUGUCCGGAUUUAUUGGGUUUAAAGGGUGCGUAGGUGGCUUUUUAAGUCAGUGGUGAAAUACGGUUGCUCAACAAUCGAGGUGCCAUUGAUACUGAAGAGCUUGAAAUAAUUGGAGGCUGCCGGAAUGGAUGGUGUAGCGGUGAAAUGCAUAGAUAUCAUCCAGAACACCGAUUGCGAAGGCAGGUGGCUACGAUUUGUUUGACACUGAGGCACGAAAGCAUGGGGAGCAAACAGGA
rnacentral:rRNA from 1 species